GAGUUUUGAUCAUGGCUCAGGACGAACGCUGGCGGCGCGCCUAACACAUGCAAGUCGAACGAGAGAGAGGGAGCUUGCUUCCUUGAUCGAGUGGCGAACGGGUGAGUAACGCGUGAGGAACCUGCCUCAAAGAGGGGGACAACAGUUGGAAACGACUGCUAAUACCGCAUAAGCCCACGGCUCGGCAUCGAGCAGAGGGAAAAGGAGCAAUCCGCUUUGAGAUGGCCUCGGCGUCCGAUUAGCUAGUUGGUGAGGUAACGGCCCACCAAGGCGACGAUCGGUAGCCGGACUGAGAGGUUGAACGGCCACCAUUGGGACUGAGACACGGCCCAGACUCCUACGGGAGGCAGCA
rnacentral:rRNA from 1 species